GAGUUUGAUCGUGGCUCAGAUUGAACGCUGGCGGCAUGCCUUACACAUGCAAGUCGAACGGUAACAGGUUAAGCUGACGAGUGGCGAACGGGUGAGUAAUAUAUCGGAACGUGCCCAGUCGUGGGGGAUAACUGCUCGAAAGAGCAGCUAAUACCGCAUACGACCUGAGGGUGAAAGCGGGGGAUCGCAAGACCUCGCGCGAUUGGAGCGGCCGAUAUCAGAUUAGGUAGUUGGUGGGGUAAAGGCCCACCAAGCCAACGAUCUGUAGCUGGUCUGAGAGGACGACCAGCCACACUGGGACUGAGACACGGCCCAGACUCCUACGGGAGGCAGCAGUGGGGAAUUUUGGACAAUGGACGCAAGUCUGAUCCAGCCAUGCCGCGUGCGGGAAGAAGGCCUUC
rnacentral:rRNA from 1 species